rnacentral:lncRNA from 1 species
CACUAAACAACCUCAUCAGCGAGAUACAGAGGGAGAAGGAAAUCAACAGUUCGAAGCUCAAGCACAGUUGAUAUCUGCGCAAAAUAAGCAUUGUAUUAAGAAUUAGAAAGUAGUACACUAACACAACAAUCCUAACUCCGGUCAAUAAUGUCAAGUAUGACACUUUAAAGAAUAAAACAGAGUAUUUCUUAGUCUCUGCAUCUUGCCUUUUAUCAUUUCGACAAACAUAUUUCUGUCUUCAACCAAAUUAAUCAGCUAUCCAACCAUUUCAGUAGACAUAAUAAUAAAUUAGUAAUAAUUUUGAGAGAGCUAUUACCAAUAAUUUCUAUCAUCUUUAAAGAAACUUCCUAAUUGAGCCCUUCAACAAGUUCUUUAAAGCGCACCAGACCCUCAGUAUCAAAAUUAUGUUAGAUCUUCUAUGCUCAGUAUAAGUCUAAACAACAUUAUCAAAGUGAAAGUAAAUAUCGGAAAUAUUGAAGUAGAAGAUGGAACACACUUCGUGAUAGAAGAAUCUGAAAAUUUCACUUCAAAUAAUGAUCUUUCACCGUCUUGACAGCAGAGAAAAGACUAUAUGAGCAGAAAAAGGCAAUACAAAAUGAAUUACACAGUAUUGCUAACAGAAAAACUACUAAUUGAGGGAAAGAAAAAAUAGGGUUACCUGCAUAAAAUUGUAGAAGUAGACGAAGAAAUAACCAAAUUAACGAAUUCACAAUCCAUCUCUUAUGCGAAGCCAAUAAUUAUAUCUAAACAAAAGAGAUAAAGCAAAUGACCUCAAUUGAGCUCGAAU